GGAGCAACCUGGAGCCCAUUCCCCUCAAGGGUCUACGAGAUGUUCACUAUAAUUGUUGUAGUCGUCUCAAUAAGGUUUCAGUAAGUGGUUCUUCACAAAAACAUGGGCUAACACAAAAGGGAGUCUUGCACAGCUCUCAUGUACUUGAACCACAGGCCAUGUAUCAUUGCUGGGAGAAUGUGGGACUGGUAUAACAGUAUUCUUCCUCACAUAAAGCAGCGAUAAGGUCAUUACAACAGACAUAGAGAUUCCAAGCUCCUCUUAAUGGU